AAGUCGUAACAAGGUUUCCGUAGGUGAACCUGCGGAAGGAUCAUUAACACUUAUUUCAGUUGCCUUAUUACAACAAAAAAGCAAUAAUAGGCAUAAAGAGAGCGAGAACCAAUAGCAAUAUCGGAUUUUGCUUUCUUUAUUGCCCUAUUAUUGUUUUUUUUAGUCCCAAUAGCACAUUUGUGAAAAAUAAGGAGAAACAGGCAGAACCCUUAAUAAGUUAAUUACAUGCUAGACAUAGAAGGAUUGAAUAUGUAUAGUGUGUAAUUACUCAUUUGUUUAACCCCAUUGACCCAAUACACAAUAAAGAGUCGUUUCUUUGAUUCCCAACAAAAAAAUUGGAUUACAUUUCCUUUAAUGAAACAAAAUAAGAGAACAACUCUUAACAAUGGAUAUCUUGGUUCUCGC
rnacentral:misc_RNA from 1 species